rnacentral:lncRNA from 1 species
CAACAUAAUUUCAAACAUUCUUUUUUCAAAUCCAAAUCUUGGAGGGAAAGUUAUCAAACCAUACACACAUUCAUCCAAAAAGUCAUUUUCAUGGCUAAAUGUCCAGUUACAUCACACACACAAAAAAACAAAUUAUCAGACUUUAAACAAAAACUACAACCUUUGACCUAUAGUUGACUUUGGUUAACUAUGGCCUUUUUGGUCAACUAGUUGACUAAAGUCAACCAUUAA